UAAUAAAAAUGUAACGCUGAUUUCGAUGAGAGGCUGGUUUAAUGAGAAAACUAUUGACUUAAUCGAAAUCAGCGUUAUCGCCGUAAACUUUUGCUCACUAGGUGGCGUUGGCAGUAACCAGAGGGCGCCACUGCACAGAUGUAGCCGUGUUAAGUGAACAUUUUCCGACGCCGUACGUUUAACGGGAAGGUAGUGUUGUAAGAUUUUGAUCAAGAUUUUAAUCACAUAAAAACUUCCGUAAGAGUAGCUAAACCACCAGGUUUGCCACGCUGAACAAUCAAACUGAAUCAUCAAAUGUCAUGCUCUGCACGUGGUUAAAAAGGUUUUCCCAAUGCUAAUUUAUAACAUACUACAUUAAUUAUCAAUUAAAACAGGUCAUUUUCCAUAGUGAUUUCUGUACUAUAUAAAUCUUUUGUUGCUGUACUGAUCCUCAAUCAGUUUCUUGGUUUAUCAUAGGCAAUCAUCAAAAUGGAAUGAACAUCAGAAACAGCUAACCAUGAUUUCCUUUCAGUAUUGUUUGUUUUAGGGCUCUUUCUACUUGCAUGUGGACCAUUGGCGUCAAAAUUACUUGAUUGUUGGUGAUUUAAUUUUUGUAUAAAUUUUCACAACUUGUUAUACAUUAGAUGUUUCUGGUAAAAUUUUUCAGUCCCACGAUGGAUGCUCAAUCAAGUUUCAGUAAAUUUCUUUACAUUACUGGAGUACUAUCUAGUAGAACCAGAUCUUGUUUUGUUUUUUUAAGUUUAAUUGAAUUGUGCCAGAAGUUUUUAAUAGCAGAAUGAUCCUAGUAUUCAUUAAUAAUUUUGCUGCCAGAUGAAGUGUGUUAACUAGUUGCCAUAGGACUUCUGCUGGAUGCGCUUACAUUGAAUACCAAGAGUUUCUUUCCUGUUACCAAUUUUCUGCAUUUAUGUAAUGUCUAGGUUGAGAGUUAAUUGUAUGAUCAAUAUCCAAUUUCUUGUAACUUGAUCAAAGAUAAACUUCACCAGCAAGUUGGUGAAGUUAACAAGAAAAGAUAUAAUUUUUCUUAUUCAACUGUAUGGAAUCUUCAGUUAUGUCCAUCCGGCCUGAUUAUUGUAAAAAGUAAAUAGUAGAUCAAGUAUUUACGAAACCGAGGCGAAAAAUUUCUCUUGUUUAAUUAAUUUCUUUCCCCUUGUUGAUUUGGAGGGGUGAGGUGACUUACCACUAUGCAGAUAUUACUUUUAAGAAAGUCGUCGUUAUUAGGUGUUUCAUCAUUCCAAUAGACAAUAAAAUUGACAAUGCAAAAUAAAUUUAUCUGUUGGGAACUGUUGGUAUUUUGUGAAUCUAUUUCAUUGCAACCGAACGGGGAAAAUCUUGUUGCAACACCUUAAUAGUUAUUCGUACAACAGUGAAUUUGUUGAUUGUUUUGCCAAAGGGAGCAGUUGAUUUUGCCAAAUAAUGUUUGGAAAGCGCUGUUUUUAUUUUUUUUUCUGGUUAUGAACGAGAGUUCCUGAAAAUUUUGUGUUAAAAUGCACUCAUUUCCUUAUAAUGGUUAGAAGGAAAAUUUAGCAGGCAUUAAUGUUGCGAGUAAUUUGUAUGUCUUCAUAACUUGUAAAUCGUAUCAAAUAAAUAACAAAUAGAAAGUUAA
rnacentral:lncRNA from 1 species